rnacentral:lncRNA from 1 species
GUGCUUGUAUUCCAUGAAUUUAUCAAUAUUAAUUGAUAUAUGAAUAUAUUACAUUCAAUAUGUAACAUUCAAUAUAUACAUUUUAUAUAUUAUAAUUGACAUGGUUUAUAAUUAUAUCCAGCUAUCAUUUUAUCAGUAAUCAAUUAUAGUAGUAGUAGUAGCAGUCUCUCGGUAACCAAGGAUGACUAUUGUCUUUGUGUGUUUUUGUGCACAAAGACACUUGUGCAUGAAGAUUUAAGUGGAAAAGUCGAUGCACAGAGACAGUCCCACUCUCUCGGCUUUGGAAGCCUGGGUCCAUUGGCAUGAAAAAUCAUUACACCUGGAGACUUCCUCAGCUGCAUUGGAUGGCCGUGUUGUCUUUUGUGCUCCAACUCGCCCUAAGCACUCCACAGUGCCUUGCUGCGUCGCCAUCUCAGCCGUUGAACCUUCUUGUUGGUUUCUUCUGCCUGUUCCGCCAAAACAGUCUUCACAUGCUGGAUGAAAUGUCAUUUUUAAAAGCUUUGUGGUCACAGAACCUCUAUCUAAGAGACACACCACAGGAAGCUAAUGGAUCUGCAGCAAAGGGAGAGUCUAAAAGACCCCCGUCCUUAAUUAAGCCCCAGGACUUCAAUGCCGGAGGUCGGUCCCAUCUGGGGCAACUGAUAGUCCAUGGACCCAUGCGGCUGAGGAGCUGGUCCUGUUUCCCACCGAUACUCUUCUGGGUUCAAAUAUCUGCAGGAUUAAUUGUCUCUAGGUCUCAUACCCACUCCUACUACAAACAUAAUUUUUUUUAACAUACUCAAUACAAACACAGAUCUUGUUUCCAGCGGUUGCCUAAACAUUGUUUUUCCUGUUCAAAGAUGAAUCACUAUCUAGUAAGAGAUUUGGUUUGAAUUGUUUUCCAGUCACGAUGAUAGAUUUGCACGAAUCCAUUCACGUCUAACUAUAGGGUUUGGGUAGUUUUUUUUCUUUCUUUUUUAUUGAGGGUGGGAAGAGAAGGAGGAAGAUGAAACAAAAUGAAGCUAACUGACUCACUCCAAUCUGAUUGAGUGGGCAGAGCUCAGGGCAGGAGCUCUUAAGGCCUAGGCCUAAGCCCAACUCUGCUGCAAAUGAACUGUGGAACUUGCUAAAGGCAAUUAGCUUCCAUUUUCUGGUCUUCCGGUUCUCUGGAUGAUACAAACUGUUCCAUCCAGCUCUGAAAUUCUAGGUAAAACAUGUAAAACCCAGUGGAAUUGCUCGUUGGCUAGGGGAGGGGAGUGGGAGGAGGGCAGGGAAAGAAUAUGAUUUGUGUAACCAUGGAAAAAUAUUCUAAAUUAAAUAAAUAAAUGUUAAAAAAAGAAAUUCUAGGUAAA